rnacentral:lncRNA from 1 species
GCAGACGAAGCCGAUCUACUCUCUAAGGCUGACGCUCCGGUAGAGCGUUGGCCAACCCAACCACCACCCAACCCCCCUCCACCCUAUUGGGGUCACCGAGGGCCUCGUGUCCGUCUGUCCAUCCAACCCUCCAUCCCUCCAUCCAUCUGUCCAUCUGUCCGUCCAUCCAUCCCUCCACCCACCACCCAAUGAGAGGCAGACGAAGCCGAUGUACUCUCAAAGGCUGACGCUCCGGUAGAGCGUUGGCCAACUCAACCACCACCCAACCCCCCCAUUGGGGGCACCAAAGGCCUCAUGUCCGUCUGUCCAUCCCUCCCUCCCUCCAUCCAUCCCUCCAUUCGUCCGUCUGUCCGUCCACCCCCCACCCACCACCCAAUGAGAGGCAGACGAAGCCGAUGUACUCUCAAAGGCUGACGCUCCGGUAGAGCGUUGGCCAACCCAACCACCACCCAACCCUAUUGGGGUCACCGAGGGCCUCGUGUCCGUCUGUCCAUCCAACCCUCCACCCCUCCAUCCAUCCGUCCAUCUGUCCAUCCAUCCAUCCCUCCACCCACCACCCAAUGAGAGGCAGAUGAAGCAGAUCUACUCUCCAAGGCUGACGCUCCAGUAGAGCGUUGGCCAACCCAACCACCACCCAACCCCGCCAUUGGGGGCACCAAAGGCCUCAUGUCCGUCUGUCCAUCCAUCCAUCCCUCCAUCCAUGACCCAACCACCACCCAACCCCCCCUCCACCCCCAUUGGGGGCACCGAAGGCCUCAUCUCCAUACAUCCCUCCAUCCAUCCCUCCAUCCCUCCCUCCAUCCAUCCUUCCCCUCCCUCCAUCCUUCCAUCCAUGACCCAACAACCACCCAACCCCCCCAUUGGGGUCACCAAAGGCCUCACGUCCGUCUGUCCAUCCAUCCCUCCAUCCCUCC